UACGGGGGGGGCAAGCGUUGUUCGGAAUUACUGGGCGUAAAGGGCUCGUAGGUGGCCAACUAAGUCAGACGUGAAAUCCCUCGGCUUAACCGGGGAACUGCGUCUGAUACUGGAUGGCUUGAGUUUGGGAGAGGGAUGCGGAAUUCCAGGUGUAGCGGUGAAAUGCGUAGAUAUCGGGAGGAACACCAGUGGCGAAGGCGGCUUCCUGGCCUGUUCUUGACGCUGAGGCGCGAAAGCGUGGGGAGCAAACAGG
rnacentral:rRNA from 1 species